rnacentral:lncRNA from 1 species
UGGGGGCAAAGGAGAUAUUGUUAAAGAUCUGCUUUAUUUUAGAGAGCAGUUUCUAACUGAUUGCAAACUGAGUUUGCCCAUUACACAAUGGGCUGCAGCAAAGGCCACCAUUCCCUGUAACCACCAAAUGUUCUAACCACUACAGUGACUAACAGGGUGAGGUUCUUUCCUUUUCCUGCCUUGUGAGGAUAAAUGUUCCCUGCUCUCAUAAGUCAUCCCUGUGUUAUGUAUGCAGUUCCAUCCAGGGUUAGCUGGAACCUGGGGAGAAGAAAUGAUGCAAAUAUUUUGUUAGGAGUAAGGCAUUCCACACACAUAUUUCUGUGUGCACAGAAUCUAUGCUGUUCUAGUAUCUUCUUUUUUUCACUUUUCUUUUUUUUUUUUUUUUUUUUUUAGGUGUUGUUAAAACAAUGCCUCUUUUUUGGGCUUGAAAAUACAUGACAUUUAAGUGAAUCACUUGAGAAUCCUAGGUUCUGCCCAGAAUUUGAAGGAUUACAUCAGGCUGGAGAGUGCUGGUUUAUGCUGGGUUAAAGAAACAUAUUGUGAAAAAUAAUUGUGCUUAAAUGACAGAAUAAAGAGAGCUAUAAGAAACCUGUAGUAUUCACAUCCAUUUUAAGAACCUGGACAGACUUCAUUCACAGGAUUUUAGAGAUAUGAUGGACAUCUGUUAUAACAAAUGGCACAAGCAGCAGAGGCUGAAUAGGCACAGCCCAACGUGGUGAUUCCACCAUUCCCUGUCUGCUGAGCUGGGCAGCAGGAGUGGCAGCAUUUCUAUUUAGUGGUUGCAAAUAAACUGGCCAAAGUGAAAAAAAAAAAAAAAAAAAAAAACCAAAGCCAAAGGUAAAAGGGUGAGAUGAAAAUAAGAUACAAAUAGUGAGAAAGAUUGAAUACUGGAGAUUUUGUUUCUUAUUAAUGGAUAUAACAAACCCAAGUAUGUGACAGACUAGAGCAUACCUGAUGCUUAAUGGCAAAUUCAUGUACUUUCCAAAGGCUAGGGAAAGUCACUGUAGAUGCAUAAGACUGUUGCAGUUUUUCCUUUUAAAGCAAUUAAUUUGCACCAUGAAGAAAUGUUAAAACUGGAAAAUUAGAUUUAUACAGAGAAAAGGGUGUCAGUCUAGGGGCUGAAUUUACCGAAGUAUCCUAAAGGGGACAUCUCUGAAACCAACCCCAAAUUUUAUUUAAGUAUUUCUGUCAUGUUAAACUACUUUACAAGGUGUUAUCAUUCAAGGUGUUGGGAACUGAAAUUCACAUAAAAAUGAUGUCAUUUGCAGCAACCCUUAAAGGAAAAAAAAAUGCAAAAAAUUGUUUAAGAGGCAUUUAAUGAGAGUCUAUGUAGCAGAAAUGCAGAUGAUAAUACACUGUAAUUACUACAGGCUUGUCUGAAAUUCUCAAGUGUAAGUAAAACACUGAACAAGGUGUCACAGCAUAGAGAAAGUAUCACAAGGCAAGCUCAGGAGUAAUUUUACAGUGCAUUAAUCAUCAUCUUCCAUUUAGGAACAGAGCUUUCCUCCUCAGAGCUUUACACAGAAUGACACUGUUGCCUGUAAAUGUGACUUUUUGGAACCACUACAGGUAGGAAAAAUAAAUGUGCAGACACUUAAAUGCUGUUCUUACUGUCCCUAAUCAUGAGAUCAUCUGAUAGUACCGAAUUAUCAAUUCUUUUUUAAUUUUUCAAAUUAGUCUAGCACACUUUUUUAAGUUGACAACAUGGCAUUUAUCCAAUGUAAUGUGAUGUUUUCAGUGCAACAUGAACAUUCAUUCAUUUCAGUGAGAGUUGUCACUGCAAGGACUCUUUCAGCAGCACCCCAAUAAAGGAGUGGUCAAAUAUUACUCAGAGAAAGGUGCAGCAGGCCAGGCCAAGCCAAGCCUUCUAAGCACAGCUGUCUGAUCUUCCAAGAAAUGCCCUGUCUGCAAAAGAAAAGAUCACAGAUGCUUCCCAGGAAGGAAACCUUCCUCCCACUGCAGUUCCAGGGUUUUGAGAGGGAAGGAAUGAGAAGGGGGGCAGGAGAAGCAUUCAGGAUCCAUAGGAUAUAAGGUACUUCAGCCUCCAAAAAGCCAUAAUCUGUCCCUUGAUUCCAGUCUCUCAAUUCAUAUCUGUAACUUCCAUCAGCAAAAUUUUGAAAUACUUGCAGUAAGAUCUUUUCCACAUUUGGUUAUUAAAUUAAUUGACAAAAAAAUUCCAAAUCGCACCAGAUGUUUCCUCAACAUGCAGUGGGUGUUUCUGAAAGGGGACAUCAACUUGCUGUACCUUGAUUUAUAGAAUUGUUUUCAUUAACACUGUGCUUCAACACAAUGAAUACAUUUAUGGUUGGUCCACAUUAAACAGACUUCAGAAAUUAUAUUGCUACAUGAACUGUGCAAAAGAAAAUACGCAUUUCUACCUUCUGUUCUUCACCAAAAAUCCAAAAUCAAAUUAUUUAAAUGCUUUAAUAAAUGCAAGCAGGCAUUUAAUUCUAGGCAAUUCAAAAUCUAUACAGCAAAAGGCCUUGCAAAUCAUCACAUAAGGUACUUCAGACCAACAUUUACAUAACUGUUCACAAACUGUUUAUUGUUUACAGAAAUAACCUUUUGCCAUAGACAACUUGCUCACAGCUAAAAGUCAGCUGAAGGGGACUAUCUUAAUUUGUCUGGGUUGCUUUUUCUAUUAGUAUUGCCUUUCUUUUUAUUAAUAAAACAGAGCUUUCCUGGCAAUUCCUACUUUUAUAAUUUAUAAGACCCAUAGUCUGGUAGUCUUAAAUAGCUAUCCAGGGGUUUAAAUAAAAGGAAAAUGAUCUCUGUGCCACUGAAACAACACAAAUUUGUGGUCUGUGAUACAGAUUUAUUGAUUGGGAACUCUCUCAAAGCUAGAACAUGCAUAACAUUUCAUUUUGCUAACUAGAGUUAAUAACCAAGAUUAAAAUAAUCAAAAUUAAUAAUACAAAUAAUUAGCUAGAUUUAAAAUCAUUUAGGAGAACAAAUUCCAAGUUGUUUGAUCCUAGGUUAAACACGAAUCUGUGAUGUCACACAGGCCAAACACACCACAAUUGUGAAACCUUUCAUGGCUCUGAUUUUUUCCUCCUAGCACGAUGCAUUGGCUUCCCUGGGAAGUGCAGCGCUGAGCGUGAUGUUCCGUCCCUGGGAGUGAGGAAGUGUUCUGAUUGACUGAUGAGCAUUUUAAUGUGGCAUUUUAAUCUAGUUAAACCACAGGGCUCAGGCAGAGCAGAUGUUCAGUGUAUGCCUGAACUGACAGCCCUAUCUCCUUUCAGCAAAAACACAGACACUUUUAUUCCACUCCCAGAAGCUCGAAAUAGGAUUUGAGGACACACUGACCCAGGUUGCAGCUAGGACAUGACUGCACUCCUAGAAGCAAUUAGAUACAGUUUUCCUCAUCUGGGCUUUGAAAAAAUCCCAAUGCAGGCAUUUUGUCAUAAACAAACAUCUGGUCAUGUCUCAGUAACAAAGAAAGAUAAAGUGUUUUUGACAGAACUUUGCCCUCUGGUCAAACUUUGCUUUUCACCGGUGUCUUUCAUUUAUUCCUUUUUGAAGACUAUUUGCACAGGCCUCUAACAGGAUGUCAAUAAGCAGAUUCACUGAUAUGGAGAAAAGUGAUUCAAUAUUCUGAGUAUAGUUUUUAGAGCAAAGAAGGAAAAUUGAGAACCUGUAAUAAACAAAAAAAAACCCCAACAUAAUCAAAUAUACCAGAUCAAAGCUAAUACAAUGUAGUGACAAGAGUUUUUUGGCUGCUUUCAGUGAGAUCUAAACACAGACAUUUUCU